rnacentral:rRNA from 1 species
GACGAACGCUGGCGGCGUGCCUAAUACAUGCAAGUAGAACGCACAGUUUAUACCGUAGCUUGCUACACCAUAGACUGUGAGUUGCGAACGGGUGAGUAACGCGUAGGUAACCUGCCUGGUAGCGGGGGAUAACUAUUGGAAACGAUAGCUAAUACCGCAUAAUAUUAAUUAUUGCAUGAUAAUUAAUUGAAAGGUGCAAUUGCACCACUACCAGAUGGACCUGCGUUGUAUUAGCUAGUAGGUGAGGUAACGGCUCACCUAGGCGACGAUACAUAGCCGACAUGAGAGGGUGAUCGGCCACACUGGGACUGAGACACGGCCCAGACUCCUACGGGAGGCAGCAGUAGGGAAUCUUCGGCAAGGGACGAAAGUCUGACCGAGCAACGCCGCGUGAGUGAAGAAGGUUUUCGGAUCGUAAAGCUCUGUUGUAAGAGAAGAACGGGUGUGAGAGUGGAAAGUUCACACUGUGACGGUAUCUUACCAGAAAGAGACGGCUAACUACGUG